CCUACGGGAGGCAGCAGUGGGGAAUAUUGCACAAUGGGCGAAAGCCUGAUGCAGCGACGCCGCGUGAGGGAUGACGGCCUUCGGGUUGUAAACCUCUUUCAGUAGGGAAGAAGCGAAAGUGACGGUACCUGCAGAAGAAGCGCCGGCUAACUACGUGCCAGCAGCCGCGGUAAUACGUAGGGCGCAAGCGUUGUCCGGAAUUAUUGGGCGUAAAGAGCUCGUAGGCGGCUUGUCACGUCGGUUGUGAAAGCCCGGGGCUUAACCCCGGGUCUGCAGUCGAUACGGGCAGGCUAGAGUGUGGUAGGGGAGAUCGGAAUUCCUGGUGUAGCGGUGAAAUGCGCAGAUAUCAGGAGGAACACCGGUGGCGAAGGCGGAUCUCUGGGCCAUUACUGACGCUGAGGAGCGAAAGCGUGGGGAGCGAACAGGAUUAGAUACCCUGGUAGUCCACGCCGUAAACGGUGGGAACUAGGUGUUGGCGACAUUCCACGUCGUCGGUGCCGCAGCUAACGCAUUAAGUUCCCCGCCUGGGGAGUACGGCCGCAAGGCUAAAACGUCAAAGGAAUUGAACGG
rnacentral:rRNA from 1 species